rnacentral:rRNA from 1 species
UUAAGCGACUAAGCGUACACGGUGGAUGCCCUGGCAGUCAGAGGCGAUGAAGGACGUGCUAAUCUGCGAUAAGCGUCGGUAAGGUGAUAUGAACCGUUAUAACCGGCGAUUUCCGAAUGGGGAAACCCAGUGUGUUUCGACACACUAUCAUUAACUGAAUCCAUAGGUUAAUGAGGCGAACCGGGGGAACUGAAACAUCUAAGUACCCCGAGGAAAAGAAAUCAACCGAGAUUCCCCCAGUAGCGGCGAGCGAACGGGGAGCAGCCCAGAGCCUGAAUCAGUGUGUGUGUUAGUGGAAGCGUCUGGAAAGGCGCGCGAUACAGGGUGACAGCCCCGUACACAAAAAUGCACAUGCUGUGAGCUCGAUGAGUAGGGCGGGACACGUGGUAUCCUGUCUGAAUAUGGGGGGACCAUCCUCCAAGGCUAAAUACUCCUGACUGACCGAUAGUGAACCAGUACCGUGAGGGAAAGGCGAAAAGAACCCCGGCGAGGGGAGUGAAAAAGAACCUGAAACCGUGUACGUACAAGCAGUGGGAGCACGCUUAGGCGUGUGACUGCGUACCUUUUGUAUAAUGGGUCAGCGACUUAUAUUCUGUAGCAAGGUUAACCGAAUAGGGGAGCCGAAGGGAAACCGAGUCUUAACUGGGCGUUAAGUUGCAGGGUAUAGACCCGAAACCCGGUGAUCUAGCCAUGGGCAGGUUGAAGGUUGGGUAACACUAACUGGAGGACCGAACCGACUAAUGUUGAAAAAUUAGCGGAUGACUUGUGGCUGGGGGUGAAAGGCCAAUCAAACCGGGAGAUAGCUGGUUCUCCCCGAAAGCUAUUUAGGUAGCGCCUCGUGAAUUCAUCUCCGGGGGUAGAGCACUGUUUCGGCAAGGGGGUCAUCCCGACUUACCAACCCGAUGCAAACUGCGAAUACCGGAGAAUGUUAUCACGGGAGACACACGGCGGGUGCUAACGUCCGUCGUGAAGAGGGAAACAACCCAGACCGCCAGCUAAGGUCCCAAAGUCAUGGUUAAGUGGGAAACGAUGUGGGAAGGCCCAGACAGCCAGGAUGUUGGCUUAGAAGCAGCCAUCAUUUAAAGAAAGCGUAAUAGCUCACUGGUCGAGUCGGCCUGCGCGGAAGAUGUAACGGGGCUAAACCAUGCACCGAAGCUGCGGCAGCGACGCUGAUGCGUUGUUGGGUAGGGGAGCGUUCUGUAAGCCUGCGAAGGUGUGCUGUGAGGCAUGCUGGAGGUAUCAGAAGUGCGAAUGCUGACAUAAGUAACGAUAAAGCGGGUGAAAAGCCCGCUCGCCGGAAGACCAAGGGUUCCUGUCCAACGUUAAUCGGGGCAGGGUGAGUCGACCCCUAAGGCGAGGCCGAAAGGCGUAGUCGAUGGGAAACAGGUUAAUAUUCCUGUACUUGGUGUUACUGCGAAGGGGGGACGGAGAAGGCUAUGUUGGCCGGGCGACGGUUGUCCCGGUUUAAGCGUGUAGGCUGGUUUUCCAGGCAAAUCCGGAAAAUCAAGGCUGAGGCGUGAUGACGAGGCACUACGGUGCUGAAGCAACAAAUGCCCUGCUUCCAGGAAAAGCCUCUAAGCAUCAGGUAACAUCAAAUCGUACCCCAAACCGACACAGGUGGUCAGGUAGAGAAUACCAAGGCGCUUGAGAGAACUCGGGUGAAGGAACUAGGCAAAAUGGUGCCGUAACUUCGGGAGAAGGCACGCUGAUAUGUAGGUGAAGUCCCUCGCGGAUGGAGCUGAAAUCAGUCGAAGAUACCAGCUGGCUGCAACUGUUUAUUAAAAACACAGCACUGUGCAAACACGAAAGUGGACGUAUACGGUGUGACGCCUGCCCGGUGCCGGAAGGUUAAUUGAUGGGGUNAGCGCAAGCGAAGCUCUUGAUCGAAGCCCCGGUAAACGGCGGCCGUAACUAUAACGGUCCUAAGGUAGCGAAAUUCCUUGUCGGGUAAGUUCCGACCUGCACGAAUGGCGUAAUGAUGGCCAGGCUGUCUCCACCCGAGACUCAGUGAAAUUGAACUCGCUGUGAAGAUGCAGUGUACCCGCGGCAAGACGGAAAGACCCCGUGAACCUUUACUAUAGCUUGACACUGAACAUUGAGCCUUGAUGUGUAGGAUAGGUGGGAGGCUUUGAAGUGUGGACGCCAGUCUGCAUGGAGCCGACCUUGAAAUACCACCCUUUAAUGUUUGAUGUUCUAACGUUGACCCGUAAUCCGGGUUGCGGACAGUGUCUGGUGGGUAGUUUGACUGGGGCGGUCUCCUCCUAAAGAGUAACGGAGGAGCACGAAGGUUGGCUAAUCCUGGUCGGACAUCAGGAGGUUAGUGCAAUGGCAUAAGCCAGCUUGACUGCGAGCGUGACGGCGCGAGCAGGUGCGAAAGCAGGUCAUAGUGAUCCGGUGGUUCUGAAUGGAAGGGCCAUCGCUCAACGGAUAAAAGGUACUCCGGGGAUAACAGGCUGAUACCGCCCAAGAGUUCAUAUCGACGGCGGUGUUUGGCACCUCGAUGUCGGCUCAUCACAUCCUGGGGCUGAAGUAGGUCCCAAGGGUAUGGCUGUUCGCCAUUUAAAGUGGUACGCGAGCUGGGUUUAGAACGUCGUGAGACAGUUCGGUCCCUAUCUGCCGUGGGCGCUGGAGAACUGAGGGGGGCUGCUCCUAGUACGAGAGGACCGGAGUGGACGCAUCACUGGUGUUCGGGUUGUCAUGCCAAUGGCACUGCCCGGUAGCUAAAUGCGGAAGAGAUAAGUGCUGAAAGCAUCUAAGCACGAAACUUGCCCCGAGAUGAGUUCUCCCUGACCCUUUAAGGGUCCUGAAGGAACGUUGAAGACGACGACGUUGAUAGGCCGGGUGUGUAAGCGCAGCGAUGCGUUGAGCUAACCGGUACUAAUGAACCGUGAGGCUUAACCUU